CAUUCAUCACCACGACCAUCAUCGUUAUCUUCACCAAUCCGACCACAAAUUUAGUUAUCUUCAUCGCUGCCAUCAGGUUUUCUUUAUCAUCAUCAUCACAACUUUUACAGGCUCACUGUCAUAAUCAUCAUCAUCAUAACCACAAAUGGUUGUCUGUCAAUAGCAGUUGUCAUCAUCGUAACAAUAAAACACCACGCUCUAUUUUCAUCAUAGUCUUCAUCAUCAGCAACAUGAACUUAUCUUCAUCAUCAUUACUGUUACUAGAGAUGACCGACAUUACUAGAAUGACCAUUAGAGCCAGCGGCAAAAUCUUCCAGAUAAAAAACAGACAAAAAACUCCAAACUAGUUAUGAAGCAGCCCGAGCGGGUCUGGUUCCUGCUGCCUUGCAUCUUAUUUCUUAUUUCUCCUGGACGCGCUCUCUGUCGUGAGCGCGCCGUCACGUGGGAGGUCCCUUUAAGUUUCCAUCGACUGAGGCCUGAGCGUGUCACAUGGACAUGAUAUAAUGAAAAGGCAGGAACAGAGUGAGUGCGCUGGGCUCUUUGCUAAAGCAGAAGGGAGCAGAAAUGUACGCAGUCAUCUGCCGACAGUGUAGAGGGCCAGCGGGGCCGAGCCCAACCGAACGCUGCCGAUCUCGACCGGGCUGGGCCGAGCCGGACAGACUGCGCCUCAUCGGACGGGACCUCUGUGUUCGCCGUUGCACCUGCCAGCUGUGACACGCACUUUAAAAGAGGAGGAAAAUGUCGCCCGUGCGUGCGCGUAUUUCGCACAGUCCCGGAGCAAAGGAGGAGCGCCCUUCGGCUCUGCUGGAGACGAAUGCAUGCUGCAGACACCUUUUGGGCUUCAAAUCAGCAAACAGCACUGGAAUGACGCACCCCUGGCUAAAAGGCAGAAGCUGAAGAAGACCACAGCAGAGAGGCUGUGAUGUAACUACAGCAUUGGACUCAGCGCAGAUGGGAGCAGACGGACGGACGGAACGGCAGCGAGGAUGACAUCACUGUUACCCGUGGGAGCCUGGGCCUGUCAUUCUUGGUGUCACUUCCUGGGGGAGAAUAGAACAGGAAGCCAGAGCGAGAGCCGACAACGAGCGCUCCCCUCACCUCCACAAGGAAGCCUUUUUCCCCCGAGAGCAAAAUGUGUGUCCGUUUGUGUCCCUCGCUCACUCCUGCAUUCAUGGCGCAGAGGGCUGGUGCUGGUUCAGAAUUUAUGUAAGCCCUGAUUGUUUUCAUUUCCUUUGAGCUCAAGUCUGAGCCUUUUGCAACAAAUCCUUUGAAGAGCUUGUUAUUUUACACUUCAACGGUAGUUAAAAUAAGUCACAGUGGUGACUUUAUGGGUACGGAUGCAGUAAGCUGUGCCUCUGCAGGCUUUAUUUUGCUGCCCUGGGUCAGCAGUGUUUGGGGAAAAGCUCCGUUCGGAGGGAUUAAAAAGAGAGGAGGAUGGGUUUACAAACGUGGAGGCCACUGUGACGUCACCUGAUGGUGUUGGACUCUGGGUCGGGGUGAGGCUCGAUCCCUUGGCCAGUGCCACACUCUGCUUCUAUGCUGGAGCUUUCCCAUAUUGGACAAAAGGGUCGAGUGAUACAUUAAAGGUAAUCCUAACAAGAUUGGUUAGCAAGCUGCAUGUGUAGCUUGCAUGGCUCCAUCCAAUGGAUGCACAUAAUUUCUAAUUAGUCCUUUCGCUGAAUGGUGUAAGCCUCAGAUAUUUGUCAGGUAAUUCUGUUUAACUCCAAAAGGCUCCAAGUCCAGUUUGACUCCAGUCUGCACAGAGCCCUCAGUUAAACCUUCAACAUCCACUCGUGUUACCAGAUCAACAAUUAUUCAUAUGGCUAUUUGUUGAUAUUGUGUUACUGUUGUAAAAUGCAGGGACGUGGCUGUGGCUCAGAAACUACAGCAAGUCAUCAGGAAGAUCGAUGAGCUUCUCUUCCUGUUGAAGUGUUCUCAUAAGAUAAUGGCUGAAAUAAGUUAGUAAGCUUUGUUUAAAUGCCAGCUCAUCAUGAACUUUGAUUUUCUUUUUUAAUCAUGAGGCUUUGUGAUGAUUCAUGUCUGUGUUAAGGUGCUAACGUGGCUGAUUCAGAGCUGCUAAUGAGUCGAUGUGUUGUUCUACUUGUUUGUCUUCAUGCUCUAAAACGCUGCAUCCAACUGAGCAACUCAAAUGUAACCUGCUUAGUGCGUACACAGCAUCUUUGUACUAUUCAUCACUGUGCAGGCAUACAAAGCAGGCACACGUCCUGCUACCUGAAUAGUUUUUACACAAAUCCUGAACUCAGACUGAGCAGGACGCGCUGUGGUUCAGGCGCUGGCAGGCUCUGGUGAGUCUGUGUUUAAAGGCAAAGAAAGGAUGGAAAGAUGACUGCGACGCAAAAAUGAAAUUAAAAAUGUUCACGUUUUGGUCCCCGGGGCAUUAUUCCUGGCUGCCCUACUGUGGAUUUACUUCUGCCCUUUGACCUCUCUAACCAACACAAGUGCAUCAAAGCUGAGCCCGCCCUUUGAGGACCCGCAUGGGUGUUAUAGAUGUAAUGUCGCCCUCUUGUGCGUGAAUUUAAAAUUGCAGGAUUCAGGCUGCGUUUUUAAAUAAUAUGCAAAACACUGUCUGGUGAACGUCAGCACUUCUCAGUGUGAGAUCGUAACAUCGGAUGUGAGCAGCUGUUAGUUGACUCCGCCCUCCAAAGCCCCCGCCUUUCUGCAGACAGCGUAAAGACUUUGUAGCCUGGACACACCUCUGAUCAUCUGACACCCAUCUUUCAAACACCUGGAGGGCCGCUGGGACAAUGCAUGUACUGUUAGAUUUGUUGUCAUGACGACCUUGUUGGUUAUGUAAGCGCUGGGCUCUGGUUCCCACAAACAGUGGUGCACGCAGAUCUUUGUGCUGUGACACUAGAAACCACACACACAGUCACAGUUUGUACAUUCCUCCAGCUGCUCACAUGUCACCCUGCAGUGUCUACAACGAGCCAUUUAACCCUCAGUGAUGAUCCGUAACCCUGUGCCAGCAGCACGUGUGCUUAAGGUGAGGGCUGUGGCCGACUCAGCGCAGAUACUUUGUUGCAGUCUAACAUCAAGAAUUUGGGUGGCACAAUUUCUUUCCAGUAAUUCAGCAAAUUUGUCUCAGUUCCCUCCAAAACUGAAGUGAGCUCGCUGGUUUUCUUGGAUUUUUGAUGAUUUCCUGAGCCACAGUUUCUCUGAUUGGCUGUUAGCUUCACAACUCCUCCAGUCUGUAUGUUGAGAUGUCAUGUGUGCGACAGGCACUAGUGCUAUAGUGAUGCAGUUGGUUAAACUAGCAGGUUCCUCUGUGUAACCUCGAUUUAAUCCAAAGAUUUCGUGACCCUAAAGCAGACUCACAUUUAUCAGCUUCUCUGUUGCUCAGGUGCUUCUCUUCACACGCUCUGUCUCUGUGGCAACACCCUGGAAAUGCUUCUGCUGUGGACCCACAACAAUAAAUGUGUGUGUAGAGGUACCCAUGUGUCCGUCUGUACUGAUGGAGCUGAUGUGUCACAUAGAUUUGGCUCUGUAAAGUUGAAUGACGUUGAGCAUACUCAUAUCCAUCCAUUCACGUUGGUUUUCCUCUCUUACGUCAUGUGGUUCUGUUUUUCUUCUUCCUGUAGUGUCUGUGGAAGGUGGCAGGUCGUGAGCGUAGACUGACGUAGACUAGAGUGAGUGCUCGUCAUUAUGUUUGCGAGCACCGUGCUUCCAAACGCCGUUCACAGCAGGCUCUACGCAUUGCUCCUGUGGCAGGCGUCCCUGUCUUAUGCUGUCAGCCUCACUUUUCAUGUGACGUCUGUUCUGUUUGAAUUCAUCUUCGUUGCUGGAAGCAAGUAUUCAGGUGCCAGCUGCUCCUGAUGCUGGACUGGCAUGGCAACAGCAGAGAUAACCCUGAUGAGCAGAUGUAUGUGUGUGUAUUAUAACAGUGGUUUUUAGUAGGCUGGACUAACUGGUUUGUAUUUCCUUGCUGGAAUAAUAGCUGACCCUGGUUUGAGCUAACUUGUGUUUAUCUACAAGCAGCUACAGGUGAAAAACAAACGCACUGAAAACUUGUCUCAGCUUCAAGGUGAGCAUUUGAACCAACUACCAAUGAGAGUGCAGGAUACAGGUGACUGAUAUAUGACUGGUUGGUAAAUAUGUUACAGGGUCACCUAGGCAACUGGAGCCUGGAAUGUCCGCUAGCAACCAAUCGUCAGCUUCAAAGCAAUGCACGACAGCUCGCUGACUUCCUGUGUGGAUUAUAGCUCAUGUUCACAUGCAGUGAAAGCUGAUUUUGAUGGUUGUCUUAAAGUUUGCAGGUGAAUGUUUGCAGGUAUCCACACAGACUUCAGACAGGCCUGCCUUUCCUAAAUUUUAGCAUC